CAAUAGCGUAUAUUAAAGUUGUUGCGGUUAAAAAGCUCGUAGUUGGAUUUCUGUUGAGGUCGGGCGGUGUACACCUCGUGUAUUAUUUGCUCCGGUCUCGGCAUCCUCUUGGGGAACGUUUCAGGACUUUAUUGGACUGGGCGAGAUUCAAGACUUUACUUUGAGGAAAUUAGAGUGUUCACGGCAGGCAAGUGCUUUGAAUACAUUAGCAUGGAAUAAUAAGAUAGGACUGUAGUGCUAUUUUGUUGGUUUGCGUACUAUGGUAAUGAUUAAUAGGGAUAGUUGGGGGUAUUCAUAUUCAAUUGUCAGAGGUGAAAUUCUUGGAUUUAUGGAAGAUGAACUACUGCGAAAGCAUUUACCAAGGAUGUUUUUCAUUAAUCAAGAACGAAAGUUAGGGGAUCGAAGAUGAUCAGAU
rnacentral:rRNA from 1 species